UUAUUGGAGAGUUUGAUCCUGGCUCAGGACGAACGCUGGCGGCGUGCCUAAUACAUGCAAGUCGAGCGGACUUGAGGGAGCUUGCUCCCGAUGGUCAGCGGCGGACGGGUGAGUAACACGUGGGCAACCUGCCUGUAAGACUGGGAUAACUCCGGGAAACCGGGGCUAAUACCGGAUAAUUCAUUCCCUCACAUGAGGGAAUGCUGAAAGACGGCUUUUGCUGUCACUUACAGAUGGGCCCGCGGCGCAUUAGCUAGUUGGUGAGGUAACGGCUCACCAAGGCCACGAUGCGUAGCCGACCUGAGAGGGUGAUCGGCCACACUGGGACUGAGACACGGCCCAGACUCCUACGGGAGGCAGCAGUAGGGAAUCUUCCGCAAUGGACGAAAGUCUGACGGAGCAACGCCGCGUGAGCGAAGAAGGCCUUCGGGUCGUAAAGCUCUGUUGUCAGGGAAGAACAAGUACCGGAGUAACUGCCGGUACCUUGACGGUACCUGACCAGAAAGCCACGGCUAACUACGUGCCAGCAGC
rnacentral:ncRNA from 1 species